CAAAAACAUCGCCUCUUGAUAAACCUACAAAUAAGAGGUCCCGCCUGCCCUGUGACAGUUCGUUUAACGGCCGCGGUAUUUUGACCGUGCAAAGGUAGCGCAAUCACUUGUCUCUUAAAUGGAGACCUGUAUGAAUGGCACAACGAGGGCUUAACUGUCUCCUUUCCCCAGUCAAUGAAAUUGAUCUCCCCGUGCAGAAGCGGGCAUACCAACAUAAGACGAGAAGACCCUGUGGAGCUUUAGAUACCAAGACAGAUCAUGUUAAAUUAUACUAAUAAAAGAAUAAACUAAAUGAAAACCGUCCUAUUAUCUUCGGUUGGGGCGACCGCGGGGUAACACAAAACCCCCAUGUGGAAUAGUGAUAAUUUUUACCAAAACCAAGAGUUACAACUCUAAGUAACAGAACAUCUGACCAUUAAGACCCGGCUGUAGCCGAUCAACGAACCAAGUUACCCCAGGGAUAACAGCGCAAUCCCCUUCUAGAGCCCAUAUCGACAAGGGGGUUUACGACCUCGAUGUUGGAUCAGGACAUCCUAAUGGUGUAGCCGCUAUUAAGGGUUCGUUUGUUCAACGAUUAAAGUCCUACGUGAUCU
rnacentral:rRNA from 1 species